GGCCUCAUUGGAUAUUUUUGAGCAAAUAGUUAAUAGUCUAUAAUGAGACAGAUUAGACAGAAGGUGUUGAUCAGUGAGCCAACUCGCGACAAUGGCAGUACAACCCGAAGACCUUCCAGUUUAAAUUCUGCAUUUGGCUAUGUUUUCUUUCGAAUCGUCUAUGUAAUUUUAUUUGAACUAAGGAACUGCUAUGAAAGUAUGAGUAAGCGAUGCCCCAUAUUUAUAUAUUGUAAAAAAAAAUUGGGACAUUACAGACUGCAUGCACUUUAUGAUGACAA